rnacentral:lncRNA from 1 species
GCUAUUCUCCUUUUCCUAGGUCAUUGCUAGUCUCAUCUUCCUCUUCUUUUUCCUCCUCCAUACUUGCUAAAACCAUUAUGAAUAGAAAACAUAUGCUGAACCCAUGCUUUUUGAUGAAGUAAGAGAUAUCUAAAAAGCAUCAAGAAGAUGCAAAAGCGCACUGUCCAGGUGCUAAUACAAAAGAUGAUAUGUUAACUCUAUACAGAUGGUCCUAUUUUAGGGUUAGGGAGCUGACAAAAUCCAAAGAUAAAUUGGGCGAGCUAAUAGGGGAGAGGUUACUCCGGCUACAUAACAAAAUUAUACAAUUAGUCUUCAAGGAGUAAUUUGGAGUUGCUAAACCAUCAAAACACCUUAUAUUCCUUUCUGCCCAAAUAGCCCAAAAAAUACUCCAGGAAUCAUUUUCCAGAUUUUGCUGAUGGAUUUACCAACUUUCUUUAGACUCCCACUACAAUAAGCAUCUUUAAUACUCGUUGGCAUCACCCAGCUGAGUCCGAAAACUGAAAGGAACAUGUUCCAGAUAUCUGUAGCAACUGGACAAUGCAAAAAUAGAUGUCUGUUUGUUUCAAGAUCCUACUGGCACAUGUAGCAUCUAUUUAACUAUGGGAAUACUCCUUUUGCAGAGAUUAUCUUGAGUGAGGCACGCUUCCUUCAAUGCAGUCCAGCUAUGACAUGUAACUUUGGGGGUUAAUUUUGUUUACCAGAUGAGCUUCCAAGGCCAAUUGUCUACCGUUUCAUUUUGGCUGAUAUUGUGUAGGUAUCCUCCUGCUCUCAUUGUGUAUAUCCCUUUAUACUUGUUCCCCAGAUGAGUUUAUCCGGAAGCUGCUCAUUGACCAUGCAUUUCUCCAAUUGUUCCAGAAGGCUAAGUAAUUCACCCAAUUUCUUCUGAGGAUUGGAAACCAAGAAUUGCCUGCUCUAUUCCGAGAGAUAGUUGAAUCAGGUCUGCUCACUAUUUGAUAGAGGUUUGGAAAGUCAUUUUGCAGAGUUGAAUCCCCUAGCCACCUGUCUUUCCAAAACUUAACAUUAGCCCCGUCCAAAACUGAACCCAUGCUUUAUAUCUCUUGCUAACGAUGUGCUUCAUAAAAUUGUGCAUUCUCUUUUUCCUAGGUCAUUGCUAGUCUCAUCUAUUCAUUUUUGCACCUUGCCCCUCCAAUAACUAUGAGCACUAUCUGGAGCGCAUGUCUUGACUACAACUCAAGAAAGCUAAUGAAGCUCCAUUGAGAAAGAAGGGGCACAAUAGGAUCAAGC